rnacentral:rRNA from 1 species
CCUACGGGAGGCUGCAGUAGGGAAUAUUGCUCAAUGGGGGAAACCCUGAAGCAGCAACGCCGCGUGGAGGAUGAAGGUUCUCGGAUUGUAAACUCCUUUUGUUAGAGAAGAUAAUGACGGUAUCUAACGAAUAAGCACCGGCUAACUCCGUGCCAGCAGCCGCGGUAAUACGGAGGGUGCAAGCGUUACUCGGAAUCACUGGGCGUAAAGCGCGCGUAGGCGGGAUAGCAAGUCAGAUGUGAAAUCCUAUGGCUUAACCAUAGAACUGCAUUUGAAACUGUUAUUCUAGAGUAUGGGAGAGGUAGGUGGAAUUCUUGGUGUAGGGGUAAAAUCCGUAGAGAUCAAGAGGAAUACUCAUUGCGAAGGCGACCUGCUAGAACAUAACUGACGCUGAUGCGCGAAAGCGUGGGGAGCAAACAGGAUUAGAUACCCUAGUAGUC